CUCGUUGGUAUUCUUGUGACCCCUAUUGUUGUACUGGCUUAUGCAAAAGAGAGGUUACAAAUGACUUCCAGCUUACCGAUACAAACCAAACUUAGAAAUUAUAAAACUCCCGCUUGUCCUUCAAAAUGGAAGUUCAAAAAUUUUGAAGAAAUAAUAAUAGGAGCUUUAAUCAACUAUUAUGAAAACUCCCCAUCAAUAAAAAUAGUAAUAGCUUUUGAAAAAAUCAAAGAGCCGAAGGAAGUAAUAAAACGUAUUGAAACGCGACUCCAGCUUUGCACUAUAUUUAUUAAAUGUAUAAAAGAUUUGUUUAAUUGCGUUACUAUAAAGCAACACUCUGUGUUGUUUUUGGAUGCCGAUUGGUUAACCCAAUUGGACGAAUUCGGCAUCAUAAACCUCAAUAACCUGAUAAAAAUUUACCGAAGAAAAACCUUUUUAGUUGCUGUAUUCAAAAAAAUAUCUCUGGAUAAUUUAAUCUUCUGCAACUAUUUUUCUUGCGAUUAUCUCAUCAUGAAACCCUUAACUACCUUAGAAGUUCUAACAGUUUUAUUAAUAGCUAUGAAAACAUUUCCCAGGAAAUAUAAAGAAAGAAGAGAGCUAUAACUCUUCGAAAACCUAAA